rnacentral:rRNA from 1 species
GAUGAACGCUGGCGGCGUGCCUAACACAUGCAAGUCGAACGAAGCACUCUAUUUGAUUUUCUUCGGAAAUGAAGAUUUUGUGACUGAGUGGCGGACGGGUGAGUAACGCGUGGGUAACCUGCCUCAUACAGGGGGGAUAACAGUUGGAAACGACUGCUAAUACCGCAUAAGCGCACGGUAUCGCAUGGUACAGUGUGAAAAACUCCGGUGGUAUGAGAUGGACCCGNGUCUGAUUAGCUAGUUGUGGGGCAACGGCCUACCAAGGCGACGAUCAGUAGCCGACCUGAGAGGGUGACCGGCCACAUUGGGACUGAGACACGGCCCAAACUCCUACGGGAGGCAGCAGUGGGGAAU